ACAUCUCAACUCUCAUGGCUUGCCGUGAUGAGCUUGGACUUUGGGGGUCUUGCUGGCCUGUGGUCGGCUCCUCUCAAAUGGAUAAGCUUGCCAGUGUUUGGUGGCGUCCUGGGUGUGAUAACUAUCUACGCUUGUGGUCGUCUGCCAGGUAACCUCCGGCAAUGGAGGUUCGCUGGGGCUCAUAACGUAUCUCUCCUCUGUGAGGGUGGCUCUCGAAC
rnacentral:misc_RNA from 1 species